ACACAUGCAAGUCGAGCGCACCUUCGGGUGAGCGGCGGACGGGUUAGUAACGCGUGGGAACGUACCCAGAUCUAAGGAAUAGCCACUGGAAACGGUGAGUAAUACCUUAUACGCCCUUCGGGGGAAAGAUUUAUCGGAUUUGGAUCGGCCCGCGUUAGAUUAGGUAGUUGGUGGGGUAAUGGCCUACCAAGCCUACGAUCUAUAGCUGGUUUUAGAGGAUGAUCAGCAACACUGGGACUGAGACACGGCCCAGACUCCUACGGGAGGCAGCAGUGGGGAAUCUUAGACAAUGGGGGCAACCCUGAUCUAGCCAUGCCGCGUGAGUGAAGAAGGUCUUAGGAUCGUAAAGCUCUUUCGCCAGGGAUGAUAAUGACAGUACCUGGUAAAGAAACCCCGGCUAACUCCGUGCCAGCAGCCGCGGUAAUACGGAGGGGGUUAGCGUUGUUCGGAAUUACUGGGCGUAAAGCGCGCGUAGGCGGAUCAGAAAGUUGGGGGUGAAAUCCCAGGGCUCAACCCUGGAACUGCCUCCAAAACUCCUGGUCUUGAGUUCGAGAGAGGUGAGUGGAACUCCGAGUGUAGAGGUGAAAUUCGUAGAUAUUCGGAAGAACACCAGUGGCGAAGGCGGCUCACUGGCUCGAUACUGACGCUGAGGUGCGAAAGUGUGGGGAGCAAACAGGAUUAGAUACCCUGGUAGUCCACACCGUAAACGAUGAAUGCCAGUCGUCGGGUAGUAUACUAUUCGGUGACACACCUAACGGAUUAAGCAUUCCGCCUGGGGAGUACGGUCGCAAGAUUAAAAC
rnacentral:rRNA from 1 species